UAACACGUAUCCAACCUGCCGUCUACUCUUGGACAGCCUUCUGAAAGGAAGAUUAAUACAAGAUGGCAUCAUGGGUUCACAUGUUCACAUGAUUAAAGGUAUUCCGGUAGACGAUGGGGAUGCGUUCCAUUAGAUAGUAGGCGGGGUAACGGCCCACCUAGUCUUCGAUGGAUAGGGGUUCUGAGAGGAAGGUCCCCCACAUUGGAACUGAGACACGGUCCAAACUCCUACGGGAGGCAGCAGUGAGGAAUAUUGGUCAAUGGGCGAGAGCCUGAACCAGCCAAGUAGCGUGAAGGAUGACUGCCCUAUGGGUUGUAAACUUCUUUUAUAAAGGAAUAAAGUCGGGUAUGCAUACCCGUUUGCAUGUACUUUAUGAAUAAGGAUCGGCUAACUCCGUGCCAGCAGCCGCGGUAAUACGGAGGAUCCGAGCGUUAUCCGGAUUUAUUGGGUUUAAAGGGAGCGUAGAUGGAUGUUUAAGUCAGUUGUGAAAGUUUGCGGCUCAACCGUAAAAUUGCAGUUGAUACUGGAUAUCUUGAGUGCAGUUGAGGCGGGCGGAAUUCGUGGUGUAGCGGUGAAAUGCUUAGAUAUCACGAAGAACUCCGAUUGCGAAGGCAGCCUGCUAAGCUGCAACUGACAUUGAGGCUCGAAAGUGUGGGUAUCAAACAGGAUUAGAUACCCUGGUAGUCCACACGGUAAACGAUGAAUACUCGCUGU
rnacentral:rRNA from 1 species